AACGAACGCUGGCGGCAUGCCUAACACAUGCAAGUCGAACGGAGUUUAAAUGGAAGCUUGCGAAAUUUAAACUUAGUGGCGGACGGGUGAGUAACGCGUGGAUAACCUGCCCAUAAAGCCGGGAUAACGCCGGGAAACUGGUGCUAAUACCGGAUACGCUCCGAGUAGCGCAUGCUACAUGGAGGAAAGGCGAAAGCCGAUUAUGGAAGGGUCCGCGUCCCAUUAGCUAGUUGGAGGUGUAAAGACCACCAAGGCGACGAUGGGUAGCCGGCCUGAGAGGGCGAACGGCCACACUGGGACUGAGACACGGCCCAGACUCCUACGGGAGGCAGCAGUGGGGAAUCUUCCGCAAUGGGCGAAAGCCUGACGGAGCAACGCCGCGUGAGUGACGAAGGCCUUCGGGUCGUAAAACUCUGUCUAUGGGGAAGAAACAAAUGACGGUACCCAAGGAGGAAGCCCCGGCUAACUACGUG
rnacentral:rRNA from 1 species